rnacentral:lncRNA from 13 species
AUGGGACGGGACCGGAGGAGCCGCCGCGUGGCUGUGACGGGGUUGGUGGCUGCUGGAGGAGGAGAGAUGCUCUGGGAAAUGGACUGCUCAGGCCUCCAGGGCCUCGGUGAUGUCUGGAAGAUGGCUAUGGAGGACUUUUUCCCCCAUCUUGUGGACCUAAGGAUUUUGAUAUUGAUUUAUGGACUUAGGUUUCAUGGCUUCAGAGGGGCGUCGAGUUGCAGCGGGGCGGCAGCGCCGGAGAGGGGCCCCCGGGGCCGCUCCCCCUCCUCCCACCGCAGGAUGCUCCGGGAGGUCCCGCAGCGCCCCGGUCCCCCCGAGCCGCGGCGUGUCCCGGGCCAGCCCUACCCUGUCCUGUACAUAACCAGUGAGAUGUCUGUAAAAGAUUUCAACCCUUGGAAUUUUUUUUUUUUUUGCUCCCCUCUCCCCUUCCCCCUCCCCUUCUUCCCCAAUUUGUUGAUUGUGUUGAAAUUGUCGCAGUUUGUAACAGUAUCUUUCAGAGAAUAUUGUACUAAAGAGAAAAUUGCACUCAAUAAAAAGGAUGAAAUAAGCCUGGUCCCUCGCCUUCCCCUUCCCCGGGGCAGCCUUCCUGCUGCCGGCCUCUCUUCAGCGCGGAGCUGGGGGAGUGUUCGCCAUGAAUAUUCAUUUGGGGAACUGGCAGCGCUCCACCGCUCCUUGACUUACCUCGAAUGUUGAUGUCUAUCAGAUUUGGCUCCCCGGUUUGUAAAUGAAGUGACUUUAUUCUUGGCGAUCCCUAUCGCAGCUUGCUCGCAGCAGAAAAGCCGGGAGAAGGAGUUUUCCUGGCACGGGUGUUGGUGCGGAGCGCGUUUCAAAGCCCUCGUGUGCGAUCGCUCAGGGAAGCCGCGCUGGAAGCGCUGGCUGGGAUCAAAGCGCCGUCCCUGCUGGCUCCGCGCGUCCCCAGUCCCGCUGGAGCCUGUCCAUGCAAAGGCUGAUGCUCCUCUUGAGCCUGCUUUCCUUAAGGCUUACUGUAAAUGAUGGCUGGAAAAUGGAUUCUUCCUCGUGCAUUGGCUGCGCUUGGGCACUUUGUCCUGCUGGGAUCAAUGACACAGCCCGUCCGGCUCUGCCACACGCGCUCCUGGGGUGGUCCUGUGCAGGACUUGGCCUCCAUGGUCCUCGUGGGUCCCUUCCGCCUCAGGCUAUUCUGUGAUUCUCGGAUCCAGGUGAUGCUGAGAGCAGCUGGUCCUGCCGGCACUGGGAACAUCCUCCGGCCGGCAGCGGGGGCUGAAACGGGGGAUAAAGGUUUUGUAAACUGAAAAUACACAGCCACCAACGAGAUUCUUGGGGUUCGGAAAGAGGAGCUGCUACUGAGAGAGCUCUGGAGGGGGGGUGGGGGUUCCCAUGCGCUGGGGUUGUGGGGUGAGCCGUGGGGAGGGAGGCAAGCGGUGCUUCAGCUGUAGGUGGGGCUGGCAGAGCCCUGCGGUCCCUGGCAUCCUGUAAUUGUCCCACCAGAGGUGGUGUUCAUGUGGGGUGUUCUCACAGCUCCCGUCAGGAGAUUUCCA